rnacentral:rRNA from 1 species
UACGUAGGGUGCGAGCGUUCAUCGGAAUUACUGGGCGUAACGCGUGCGUAGGCGGUUCUCCAAGUCCGUUGUGAAAGCCCCGGGCUCAACCUGGGAAUGGCAGUGGAAACUAGGGGACUGGAAUCUGGCAGAGGGGGGUGGAAUGCCGCGUGUAGCAGUGAAAUGCGUAGAUAUGCGGAGGAACACCGAUGGCGAAGGCAAUCCCCUGGACCUGUACUGACGCUCAUGCACGAAAGCGUGGGGAGCAAACAGG